rnacentral:lncRNA from 1 species
CCAGGCUGGUCUCAAACUCCUGAGCUCAGGUGAUCCUCCCACCUCAGCCUCCCAAGUAGCUGGGACUAUAGGCACACAUCACCAAGCCCAGCCAAAUUUUGUUUUUUUUUUGUAGAGAUGGGGUUUCAUCACGUUGCCCAGGCUGAUCUCGAACCUCUGGGCUCAAGCAAUUCACUCGCCUCGGCCUCCCAAAAUGCUGGGAUUACAGGCCUGAGCCACUGCGCCCAGCCAGGAUUUGAAUUAUUUUAACUCAUCCAUGGGCUGCCCUAGAAUGUCACAAAUGAGGGUUGUUUAAUGCCUUUCUUAUAGCUGCUACUGGAACACUAUUAUGACCUAAUUUAUGAGCCAUCCUUACUCAUCUACAAGUGCUGAAGCAAUGUUACAUACUUUUUUGCUAAACUCAGAUUUUUUAGCCUAAUUUCUUGUCCUCCUAUCCACCUGCAUCCACACAUGGCCUGCAUGGGGCUGCCUUCCCUGCAGUGUUCUGCAGCCAUGCUUCAGGGUAUAGCUGUUGGUGGACAGCCUCAGGUCUUGGGGGCACUAUAGCCACUAAACGAGGUGUGAAAGGCUCAAGAGGAUGACCAGCAAUUAAUUAUCCCCAGAAAGUGAAGGAAAAGAGACCUUUAGGGAUGUUGCUGGUCAAGUCUUGAUUUGACCGGAGUCAAAUCAAUCUUCAAGCAAUCUUGGAAUCCUCAACUGCAGUAAGCAUUUCAAAAUGCAAACAAACUGCUUAACAACUGACAAGACACCAGCCCAUACGCUGCUCUUCCAACAGUGGGUUCUAGCUUUGAACAAAAGUGCUAAACAUUUCCUUGAAUAUAUUCUUCCUCUUUUUGUCCUCAUCACUCAAUACUGGUGCUCUUGUCACAGGUAGAACAGCUUGUUUCUUUUCCAUCUAUUCAAGUGUGUUUCUAAUUCUAAAAUGCUGAUCUUCUCUGGAGUCUAUGGUAGGCAAUUAUGGUCACUGGAAUAGUUUGUCUUGUUUUAAAAUAUUAUUGGUGCAUGUACAACAGCAUCCAACAUAUCUGUCUUGUUCCUAGAUAUAUAGCUCUGAUUUUAGGCCUUUUGUGCAUACCAUUACAAUAUGGUGGGGUAAGACAUUCUACAGUAGCCUGUGCUGAACUGAUCUCUUAAAUAAACUUGCUUCUGGUUAACUAUGUUGAUGAAAUCUGAGAGUCCAUUCAGUAGCCCUCAUCUCACCCUUCAAAGAGAGUCAGCUAGCAGAUUAGAAACAAAUGUCUGAUUAGGAUGAAGCAGGUUUGAGGGGUGCUGGUAUAAUAGCAAGAAAGAUUUGCUGACCACUCUCUUUCCAAACUCCAUAGUUUCUGAGUGGAAACGAGGAUGAGUGAGGUCCUGGCUCAAGUAUUUUACUCCCACUACCACCUGGGAGCCCUCCAGGAAAAGAGCUGAGGCUGCUCCAGAUGGAAGUCAAGAGCAGCUGGUAUUUACACCUGGAAAAUCAGAUUUUUUUUUCUUUUGCAAUAACUCGGUAGUAAGACCAGACCAACAAUUUUAGAGAAAAGCCUACAUCUAACAUACAUGCUACCAAACGAGUGUCUAACAGGAAUAAACCAAGCAGAAAUCUCAAAACAGGUCUACAUCAAAAGUUACAAGCAAGCAUAUCAGGUGCAAUACUGAGGAUGAGUAUAUUAGGAAGUAAAAACACUUACCGUAAAUGAAUAUUCGAAGUGCACACUGCAAUGGGUUGAUUGGAGAGAUAUCUAAAUGUAAACAUUUGACAUCAAAGUGGCAAGCUUUGGGCUCCAUUGGAAGGCUGCAAUUUCCAUGGAAAAGCCCUCAGAGAAGCAUGUUUCAAUUGCCGAAACAGGCCUAAUCCUUAUGCAAGAUGUAAGGGUUUUAAAAAGUUAGAAACUCUGCUCUCACCUUUCAAUAUUAAGAGCAUAAACAAAUGAAUCACCAGGCAGAUUUUUAUAUAUGACACUAAGAGAUUUAGAACUUUAAGAGCUGUGGUGACCACAUUAUGGUGGAGGAACAAAAAAGGAAACCUUGGCAGUUAGAAAGCUGCUCAGUGAUGAAUUCAAGAAGGAACCAGCUUUAAAUUAUCUCUUCAUGCCAACAUCCAUCUAUACACUGAAAGUUUUAGUAUUGUACAUUAAGACGAUCAGGCCCAGCAGGGUGGUUCACGCCUGUAAUCCCAGAACUUUGGGAGACUGACAUGGUGGAUCACUUAAGCCCAGGAGUUUGAGACCAGCCUGGGCAACAUGGCAAAACUGUCUCUACUAAAAAUACAAAAAAACUAGCUGGGUGUGGUGAUGCAUACCUGUAGUCCUACCUACUUGAGAGGCUGAAGCAGGAGAAUCGCUUAAGGUCAAGGCUGCAGUGAGCUGUGAUUGUGCCACUGCACUCCAGCCUGGGUGACACAGCGAGACCCUGUCUCUAAAACAAAAAAGACAAUAAAGUAGUUUAAGCUAGUAAAACAGAAGGUGCCACAACAACCUGCAAAGCCAGUGUGAAGGAACAGCUUGAAAAAACUUCGAAUUUCUACUGACUACAGACAAAUCCAAGUGCUGAUAUUUUUAUAUCAAUUACUGGCCAAAAUGGUGUGUUUAUUUUUUAAAGCUUGUAUCAUGGAAUGUAUAAUCUAAUCUGGAAAAAUGUUUGAAAGGGAUGGCUAGAAAAAAAUUUGGGCUCACAGGCACUCACCAAAUAAGAACGUCAACAAUCACUAAACUGCAUUUUUAUUUAAACAACAUUAAUUACAGUCUUUCCUCGUGCGUGUCCUCUUUCCACCUUCAGGAAG